AAAAGAAGGAGAAGAGCAGGGUACGUGAAAAAAGUAGGAAAAAAUGGCAUCCAAGGAUUUGAGUUCGUCUGAUUGGGCUGUGAAAUUUCUGUGCUUUUUCAUGGUUGUGAUCCUUCAUUCAGUCAUCGUCUCUGCAGCACGCCGAGGACCAGGAGGGCGUUGUGGGCUGGGUGGAGCAGAUCCAAGCAACCCAAACCCGUCCCCCGGAUGUAUAUGAGGUGGUUGUACUCCAACAAUGAAGUGAUCGACUUGAAGUGUCCCACAACAGGACAAGUGGAGGUUCCGGAUUUUGGGUUGACUUUAAUUUUACUGUUCGUUUUCCUUUUGGAAGAUGGGAAAGUGUUAAGUCGUUCUUCGAUUACGUGUUUUUAUUUUUAUUUUUUACAGAGCGCAGCUAAAAAAUUAUGGUUAGUGAACUUUAUAGGUCAUGGUUGAUCAAAGAUUGACGAGUUGGAAUAUAGGUUGUCAGUGAUCGAAGAGUCGGGUGUGUAUGUUUUCUUUCAUGAUGGAUGUCCUACUCGAUAUGUUGUAUCGAAAAUAUACGAAAUCAUUAAGUAAAUGGGUAAUCUGCCCGCAAUUUUCUCGAACA